rnacentral:rRNA from 1 species
CCUACGGGUGGCAGCAGUGAGGAAUAUUGGUCAAUGGACGAGAGUCUGAACCAGCCAAGUAGCGUGAAGGAUGACUGCCCUAUGGGUUGUAAACUUCUUUUAUAUGGGAAUAAAACGUUCCACGUGUGGGAUUUUGUAUGUACCAUAUGAAUAAGGAUCGGCUAACUCCGUGCCAGCAGCCGCGGUAAUACGGAGGAUCCGAGCGUUAUCCGGAUUUAUUGGGUUUAAAGGGAGCGUAGGUGGAUUGUUAAGUCAGUUGUGAAAGUUUGCGGCUCAACCGUAAAAUUGCAGUUGAAACUGGCAGUCGUGAGUACAGUAGAGGUGGGCGGAAUUCGUGGUGUAGCGGUGAAAUGCUUAGAUAUCACGAAGAACUCCGAUUGCGAAGGCAGCUCACUGGACUGCAACUGACACUGAGGCUCGAAAGUGUGGGUAUCAAACAGGAUUAGAUACACCUGUAGUC